GCGGCGGCUGCCUCCGCUUCCUCCCACAUGGAAGACAGCACGUUGGCAGCUAAUUCACGGGAUAAAGGCAGAGGCGGUGCAGAUCAGUGAGCCUGGGAGCAGCAGUGAAUGCCAGGGGUGCCUUCGCUGCACCAAGCACUCAGCCCUGCAGUGUGACUCAGAGCCACUCGUCACCAGCGGCCUCGGGCAGUCCACCAGCCUGAAACCACAGGACAGGACGGGCAGUCCCAGCACGGAACACUGAUGCCCGUCAUCAUUUAGAGACUCAGAGGCAGUCACGAGAGGAAGUGGAUCAGAGCCACUCUGGACUUCUCACGGCCAGCGCAGACCCUCGCAUGUGUGACAUGCACAGGGUGCCCAGUCUUCCUGGGCCUUUGGAUGGAGCCCUCGGCCACCUGGAGGGAGCAUUGAAACGGAAGAUGCUUCACUCACACUUGGUGUUGCCUUCUCAGGUCCCAGCAUCUGCACAGAGGCCUCUCGGGGUACGACAGUCUCCUGCUGAAUGGCACCUUCCCUCCAGCACCUGCAGGCCUGCCCUGCCCACUGCACCUGCCCUGCCCCAGCGCUCCUGCCUGACCCUGGAGAAGGAUGGAGAGGCAGGGUUUCGUGGGGAGUGCCGGGAAGGGGCUCCUCGGGAAAAGGAAGCUGAUGGCAGCCCCUCCCUCACCUGCCCCAGCAGCUGAGCUCAUCUCCCGGGGGCACUCAUGCUCCCUAGAAGUGACAGGUGGGCCCGCUACCCACAGGCCAGCGGAACACAGCUCCUUUGGGGUGGGGGAAAUCCUGCCCUUUCCUUGGCCACAGCCAUCCCCACGCACCCACUGAGUCAGGAUGGAGGCCCAGCCUGAAGGUAGGGGCUGGAGGGAGCACAGCGGGCGUGAGGAGGCGCUCCAGCCGUUCCUCGUUCUAAGUGGGAGCUCCCUGGGAGGACAGAUGACUGCUGCAUUAGGAGGGCGUUUCAGGCCCACCUGCUGCCUCCAAGGAGCAUAAGCUGGCAAUGCUGGAAAUCAGCCUACGGCUGCCCCUCCAGGUGACCCCAUCAGGGGAGCAGGACUACGGAACUAGCAACCCAGGUAUUGAAGGAUUAUCGCUCUCCAGGGACUUCACUGCUGGAGCCAGGCCAGUGCUGGCAUCUUUCCGGGACCUGCUCUAAGCUGCCAAGAGGAAGUGAGAUUCAUGGGUACACCUGCGGGCGGCUGCACUCCUCCAGGCCACACAUUGGACCCAGCAGCUCCUGUCUGGUUAGCAGUGCCCAAGGGAUGUUCCUGGUGCUGGAAACCUACUGGAUUUGGGUUGGUCGAAUCCAAGGAUGCUGAACCUGUAGAUCCAGAGGGUUGACUGUGUCUAUGAAGGCUGUAAGUAACCCCAGGAGCUCUUGGCUGCCAAGAAACCAGUCUGAAAAAGAGGCUGGCCUUUGAGGAGGAUAGGAGAACAGAGGAGGGUAACUGAGCCAGGACCCCUGUCAAACCACAUCUGAUCCCUACAGUGACUCAGGUCGGUGCCUAGAUAGGGUCUUGGCAUGGGCCCUCUCUGCUCAGCAGUGUGACACCGAGUUCCAGAGACCACAUCUCCAGCACCCACAGCUUCCCUCAGGUUCCUUCCUCGUCCCUACAGAGCUGCUCUGAUUCUGCUGGAGGAACAAGCUCUCUUCUAGAGGUCUACAGGUCAUGUUUGACUUUUUCCCAAUUUUCCCAUAUUAUAAAAGAAAUACAAGCUAAUGCUGAAAAACUAGAAUAUUCAGGCAAACAAGCUGUUGGGGGAAAUGACCCAAAACACUACAAUCAAGAGACCACUAUUAUCAUUUUGGCACACGUCCAUCUAACCAAGCUGCUUCCCUGCACGCAGACAUAAAAAUAGGAUUCUACUAUAUUUGUUUAUAUAAAACAUAAAUAUAAAAUACAUGUACUUAAACAUAUAUAUCACACACGCACACCCCUUUAACAACAUAUACACAUCAACAUCUGUUAAUGGCUUCAGAGAGUUUUGUUUUUUGCAAACACCAAACCUCUUUAGCUAAACAAUUA